ACAAUUUUUAUGUAACAAAUACAUAUUGAAAGAAAAUUUUCACCACACGUGCAUUUGCACGUGUGUUUUUGCUAGUAUAUAUAUUUUUGGUAAAUUUUCUUGUACCACCCCUAAAAAUGCCCAUAAUUUGGAGUAAUCCUCAAAAAUUAAUAUAAUAUCUACCACACCCCUAAUUUGUAACACCGUUAAUUGAAAGACCCUUUUACCCUUAUACUUAAACUCUAGAAAAGAGUCAAUUUUCUUCCAAACCCUUACAUUCUCUCUCUCACCAUGUGCUCAGCUGUGACCUUAGUUGGGUGAGUAUACUGUUAGCAACAAAAGGCAGCAGUUGCUUUGCAUAGAUUCAGUGACUCCGGCGAAUAUAACUUUUUAGCAGCAGUUGGAAUCAGCUGUGGUGGACAGCCCUCUAGCAGCAGAUCUUCAUCUGUGACCAUAGCAGCAGAUGAAGCCCUAGCAGCAACUGGUUUCGAAAGCUUUAUAGGAAGCCCUAGCAGCAACUAGAGUGACCCCCAUUUUUUGUCUGUAAGCCAAGAACUGAAGGUAAAUGGAGCAGAGCAAUGGUUGUCAGAGCGGCAUAGCAGAAGUCUGAGUAGAGGUUAGGGCUUUCACUCAGCAGAAGCUUCGUCACAAUGAGGUGCUUUCUCCUUCCUUUUGUCUUCGCAGGUAAACGAAGCAGAGCAGUAGUUCUUGGAGCGGCAUAGCAAAAGUCCGAGCAGAGGUUAGGGAUUUCAGUUUCCAGUUAGAGCAGCAGUUGUCAAUUUUGGGAAAGUUUAGUUCCCAAACUUUGCUUUACUAAUUGAGGGUGAAGGACAUUACGGUAACUUUAUAUACCCAUAAGGGUAGAUUGGCCAUUUAGACAAAAAAUGACUAAUGACAUCAUCCCUUAACUUCUUAAUCCUAAUGGAAUGGAUAUUUUAGAAAUAA